GGCGACUGGGCAGCUUCCUGGAAUCUGGCUGUAGUCAACAUGCUUAUUGGUCGUGGAAGGAGCAGCUACAGCCAAGAGUAGAGAUUAAUAAUAUUAUGCAGGAAGAGUCAUCUGCUUUGGAACUUCCUCCCAUGGGAGGGUGACUUCAACAGUAACAGCCAACCUUAUUGCGUUUUGACUACAUUCAGGUCACUGUGCUUAGUGCUGUAAGUAUGUUGUUUUACUUAAUUCCUCAAAACUAGGAGAUGAGUAUAGGUACCCACCCAAAGGAAUUUAAAAUGGAACCCUGGCGAGUAGAAGAAUGAGAGACAACCCCGAGCAUGUAUUAGAGAGAUCUGUAGGAAUGUUCGUCUGAGGAUCCAGGCUUUCAGUUACACAAAAUGAAUGGGCCCUGGGGAGCUAAUAUUCAGCACGGUGUCUACACUGAACAACACUGGAUUGGAUAUUGGCAAUUUCCUAAGAAGAUGAAUCUUAAGUGCUCUCGCAGAAGAAAAAGGAUGGAUGGAUGGGAGGAAGGAAGGAAGGAAGGAAGGAAGCAAGGAAGGAAGGAAAGACAGACAUGAUAAUGACCACGACUGUAACAACUGUCAACAUUGAUGGGAUGCUUACUACAUAGUGAACACUGUGAUAAAGGCUUUCCAUGAGACAGCUUAUUUAAUCUUUACAACAAAUCUAGGAGAAAAUGCCCAAAGACCCAGAGGAAAUAUGGAGCACUCAGUCACUGCAUCCUAGACAUCAACUGUCUCUACUUAAUCAAAUCUGCCUCUCUUCAGGAUGUUUUGCUAACACCUGGAAUAGGGAUGCUUGAAGACAGAAGCACUUGGAAAAACUGCCUGUGCUCCUAUAUCCAUUUCUGUAAUAAUUAAAUAGAAGAAAGAGACGGAAGAUUGUCUGCACUUGACUAUUGGCCCGUAUACCUGAUAUAAUCUAACAGCCACAACUCCAGAAAAUGGAUAAUGUUCAGUUCACUUAGGAGACUUAAAAAAAUGGAGAUUCAGAAAGAUGAGGUGACUCACCCAAGGAUACCCAGUUAAGAUUGGUUCAGGGUUUAAGCUGGGCCCAUGGUCUUCCUGCUAAACAACAUU